GAGCGAACGCUGGCGGCGUACUUAACACAUGCAAGUCGAACGAGGAUCGCGGCGUGAGCAAUCAUGUCGCGGUUCGAGUGGCGGACGGGUGAGUAACACGUGGGUAACCUGCCCUCGAGACCGGGAUACCCCCUCGAAAGGGGGGCUAAUACUGGAUACGCUCUCCAGGUCACAAGAACGGGAGAGGAAAGGUGGCGCAAGCUGCCGCUCAAGGAGGGGCUCGCGGCCUAUCAGCUAGUUGGUGAGGUAACGGCUCACCAAGGCGAUGACGGGUAGCUGGUCUGAGAGGACGACCAGCCACACGGGGACUGAGACACGGCCCCGACUCCUACGGGAGGCAGCAGUGGGGAAUUUUCCGCAAUGGGCGAAAGCCUGACGGAGUGACGCCGCGUGGGGGACGAAGGCCUUCGGGUCGUAAACCCCUGUCAGAGGGAAAGAAGGGUGCCGGCGCGAUAACCGCCGGCAUUUGACGGUACCUUCAGAGGAAGCCCCGGCCAACUCUGUGCCAGCAGCCGCGGUAAGACAGAGGGGGCAAGCGUUGCUCGGAAUUACUGGGCGUAAAGGGCGUGUAGGCGGGAUGGCAAGUCGGUCGUGAAAGCCUUCGGCUCAACCGAAGAAGUGCGUCCGAUACUGCCGUCCUUGAGGGUUGGAGAGGAGACUGGAAUUCCCGGU
rnacentral:rRNA from 1 species